UGGUCGACACAUGUUGUAUCCCAACUGCAUAGAUCGAUGCUCAUGCUGUCGAUCACUGGAUUGUCUGGUCCAGACUCGAUUAUUUACAGACCGCCGUCA